AUUGAACGCUGGCGGCAUGCCUUACACAUGCAAGUCGAACGGCAACACGCUGCGAGGUGCCGCCGACUGGCGGCCGGGUGCGUAAUGCUUCGGAAUGCGUCCGGUCCUGGGGGUUCACUGCUCGUAAGGGUAGCUAAUAUCGCCUACGAUCUCUGGCUGCAUGCGGGGGAACGCAAGGCAUCGUGCGAUCUUACCCGCCGAUGUCAGAUUAGGUCGUUGGGGGGGUAAAGGCUCACCAAGGCAACGAUCUGUAGCUGGUCUGAGAGGAUGACCAGCCACACUGGAACUGAGACACGGCCCAGACUCCUACGGGAGGCAGCAGUGGGGAAUAUUGGACAAUGGGCGCAAGCCUGAUCCAGCAAUGCCGCGUGGAGGAAGAAGGCCUUCGGGUUGUAAACUGCUUUUGUACGGAAAGAAAAGGCGCUGGUUAAUACCCGGGUGUAAUGACGGUACCGUAAGAAUAAGCACCGGCUAACUACGUG
rnacentral:rRNA from 1 species